GGUAUCAUGGUGUAACGGUUAGCACACUGGACUCUGAAUCCAACGAUCCGAGUUCAAAUCUCGGUGAGACCU
rnacentral:tRNA from 1 species